rnacentral:rRNA from 1 species
GUUUAGAACGUCGUGAGACAGUUCGGUCCCUAUCUGCCGUGGGCGCUGGAGAACUGAGGGGGGCUGCUCCUAGUACGAGAGGACCGGAGUGGACGCAUCACUGGUGUUCGGGUUGUCAUGCCAAUGGCACUGCCCGGUAGCUAAAUGCGGAAGAGAUAAGUGCUGAAAGCAUCUAAGCACGAAACUUGCCCCGAGAUGAGUUCUCCCUGAGACUUUAGGUCUCCUGAAGGAACGUUGAAGACGACGACGUUGAUAGGCCGGGUGUGUAAGCGCAGCGAUGCGUUGAGCUAACCGGUACUAAUGAACCGUGAGGCUUAACCUUAC